ensembl:snoRNA
AUCCUUUUAUAGUUCCUAAAUGUGAUGACUGGAUGUUCACGUGCAUGUGUGAGCUGUACCAUCUUCAAACCUUGUGCCGACAUUGGUACGUUACCCAGCUGACA